GGCGCAGUGGCGGAGUGGUCUAACGCGCAAGACUAGAACCAUCUAGACUUCUUGUCUAGAGAACCUGGCAUCUUGUUCCUUCGGGAGCGUCUGUUCGAAUCAGGCCUGCGUCG